AUUGAACGCUGGCGGCAUGCCUUACACAUGCAAGUCGAACGGUAACAGGUCUUCGGAUGCUGACGAGUGGCGAACGGGUGAGUAAUACAUCGGAACGUGCCCAGUCGUGGGGGAUAACGCAGCGAAAGCUGUGCUAAUACCGCAUACGAUCUGCGGAUGAAAGCGGGGGACCUUCGGGCCUCGCGCGAUUGGAGCGGCCGAUGUCAGAUUAGGUAGUUGGUGGGGUAAAGGCUCACCAAGCCAACGAUCUGUAGCUGGUCUGAGAGGACGACCAGCCAAACUGGGACUGAGACACGGCCCAGACUCCUACGGGAGGCAGCAGUGGGGAAUUUUGGACAAUGGGCGCAAGCCUGAUCCAGCAAUGCCGCGUGCAGGAAGAAGGCCUUCGGGUUGUAAACUGCUUUUGUACGGAGCGAAAAGGCUCCCUCUAAUACAGGGGGCUCAUGACGGUACCGUAAGAAUAAGCACCGGCUAACUACGUGCCAGCAGCCGCCGUAACAC
rnacentral:rRNA from 1 species